rnacentral:lncRNA from 1 species
GAGUAGAGGUGGCAUGUAAAGCCACAGGUCCGGAUGAAAUCCGCCAGGUAUUGGGGGAUGACAAGAGGUCUUCAGACUGAGCCCUGGGGGAGCUCCAACAGUUAGAAGCCGCGAAGGGGAAGAGGAUUCAGCAAGGAAAACAGAGAGGUAGAGGUCCUUGAAAACGGAAAUAAAACCAGAUAAAUAAUUUGCAACUUCCUUGUCUGCCAAGACUACUGUGAACAUAUACUCUGGUGACCCGGACAUUGUUACAAGCCUCAGAGCAUGGAUCCUUCUGGCAGAGAAAAGAUUGUCAUAAGCAUAGACCUUUAGCUUGAUGCCUUCAUGAGAUAAAGGGGAAACUGGAGCUUGGAACUUGAUUUCAUCCACAGGAACGGCUGGAAAAUCAUCUUCAAUCAUUUCACCUGGAAGUCUCCCAAGAGGACAUGAGUAUCCUGUUAAGACAUCCUUUUAUGUUUUCAGUAGCUUUGCAGUUUUGUCUUUGAGUUGCUCAAGGCAAGAAGACCCGGUGCCAGCAAGACUGAAACAAAAAAGCAAAAGAGCUUUUAAAAGCAAGCCUUCUUCUGACUCAGAACCUGCUCCCGGACCUCCCCGUGGUCUCCCUGGACUGGUGCUGUGACUCUGGGGGAACGCCAGGGAAGGAAGAGAGGAAAACCUUGUUAUUGAUGCUAAAUGAUACCCUCUCAAACAAGAGAGUUCUUCUCAUCUUCUGUUUUCUAUGAAGCAAGGAUAAUAAGAAGCUUCAAAUUGGAACAUGUUUUAUUUUUCAAAACUUAAAGAGCUUAAAGUAAUUUAUACACACGCUUUUAAAAAUUUUAAGAAGUACUGAAAGGCUUGCAGUGAAAAGCUCGUCUUCUGCUCCUCAGAGCGAUCACUUUGUAAAAUGAAAUUUUUAUUGAGGUAAAAUUUACAUAUGGUGAAAUACGUACACAGACUUUAAGUCUUCAAGCCAAGUGGUUUUGAUAAAAAUUGGUGCAGUGGUGUAACUACCGCCACGUUCAAGACACACAUCAUUUCUAUCACCCCUGAAAAUACCUUCACGCCCCUUGGCCAUGCUAUACAGGAAAGCAAAAGUAAUUCACCAUAAUGACCAUGAAAAUGACCACUGAGUAGAAGAAUUGUUAUGGAAAUAUCUUUUACUAUUGUUUUUAAAAGAUGAAAUAGUUAUAAAUAUGGUUAUAUUUUGGAUCCACUAGAGGGAGUAAUAAAGUCCAAUUGAUCAAUUUUUUAUUUUAUCUCGUGUUUUUGAUAUCAUUCUUCAAGAAACCUAAGAUCACUGAUUUACUCAUGCUUUCUUCUAAGAGUUUCACAGUUUUAGCUCUUACAUUAUAGUCCAUGAUCCAUUUCAAGUUUAAUUUUGUGUAUGGUGUGAGGGAAGGGUCCACACAUACUUUUACAUGUGGCUGUACAAUUGUCCCAGCAACAUUCGUUGAAAAGAUUAUUCUUUCCCCCAUUGGAUUGUUUGGGUACCCUUGUUGAAAAGCAAUUGAUAAUGACUGUAAAGGGUUAUUUCUGGACUCUGAAUUCUCUUCCAUUGAUCUAAAUGUCUCUCCUUAUGUCAGCACCACACUGUCUUGAGUAUAGGAGUUUUGUAUUAAGCUUUGAAAUCAGGGUGAAUAAGUCCUCCAACUUUGUUUUUCAUUUCCAGAUUGUUUUUGCUAUUCUGUGGAUUUUGCAUUUCUAUAUGAACUUUAGAUCAGUUUGUCAAUUUCUACAAAAAUAUCCAACUGAGGUUUUAAUAAGGAUUGCAUUGAGUCUUAGAUCAAUUUGUGGAGAAUUGUCAUCCUAAUAAUACCAAGUCUUCC